UAGGAGGCGUCGAGCGGCGGACGGGUGAGUAAUGCAUAGGAAUCUGCCCGAUAGUGGGGGAUAACCUGGGGAAACUCAGGCUAAUACCGCAUACGUCCUACGGGAGAAAGCAGGGGAUCUUCGGACCUUGCGCUAUCGGAUGAGCCUAUGUCGGAUUAGCUAGUUGGUGAGGUAACGGCUCACCAAGGCGACGAUCCGUAGCUGGUCUGAGAGGAUGAUCAGCCACACUGGGACUGAGACACGGCCCAGACUCCUACGGGAGGCAGCAGUGGGGAAUAUUGGACAAUGGGGGAAACCCUGAUCCAGCCAUGCCGCGUGUGUGAAGAAGGCCUUCGGGUUGUAAAGCACUUUCAGCGAGGAAGAAGGCCUGGGGGCUAAUACCCCUCAGGAAGGACAUCACUCGCAGAAGAAGCACCGGCUAACUCCGUGCCAGCAGCCGCGGUAAUACGGAGGGUGCGAGCGUUAAUCGGAAUUACUGGGCGUAAAGCGCGCGUAGGUGGCUUGAUAAGCCGGUUGUGAAAGCCCCGGGCUCAACCUGGGAACGGCAUCCGGAACUGUCAGGCUAGAGUGCAGGAGAGGAAGGUAGAAUUCCCGGUGUAGCGGUGAAAUGCGUAGAGAUCGGGAGGAAUACCAGUGGCGAAGGCGGCCUUCUGGACUGACACUGACACUGAGGUGCGAAAGCGUGGGUAGCAAACAGGAUUAGAUACCCCUGGUAGUCCACGCCCGUAAACGAUGUCGACUAGCCCGUUGGGGUCCUUGAGACCUUUGUGGCGCAGUUAACGCGAUAAGUCGACCGCCUGGGGAGUACGGCCGCAAGGUUAAAACUCAAAUGAAUUGACGGGGGCCCGCACAAGCGGUGGAGCAUGUGGUUUAAUUCGAUGCAACGCGAAGAACCUUACCUACCCUUGACAUCGUGCGAACUUUCCAGAGAUGGAUUGGUGCCUUCGGGAACGCACAGACAGGUGCUGCAUGGCUGUCGUCAGCUCGUGUUGUGAAAUGUUGGGUUAAGUCCCGUAACGAGCGCAACCCUUGUCCCUAUUUGCCAGCGAUUCGGUCGGGAACUCUAGGGAGACUGCCGGUGACAAACCGGAGGAAGGUGGGGACGACGUCAAGUCAUCAUGGCCCUUACGGGUAGGGCUACACACGUGCUACAAUGGUCGGUACAAAGGGUUGCAAUGCCGCGAGGUGGAGCUAAUCCCAUAAAGCCGGUCUCAGUCCGGAUCGGAGUCUGCAACUCGACUCCGUGAAGUCGGAAUCGCUAGUAAUCGUGAAUCAGAAUGUCACGGUGAAUACGUUCCCGGGCCUUGUACACACCGCCCGUCACACCAUGGGAGUGGACUGCACCAGA
rnacentral:rRNA from 1 species